AUCACAUGACCCGGCCCUGGGCAGGUCACGUGGCGUUAGCCUUGAGAGAGCAGCACAUCCGGGUACUGGGUGGAAGCAGCCCCUCUAAUUUGUCAGGUGGUGAAAGCAAAUUCCGAGUUCUUUGCCAGGGUAGCUGCAUUCAAAUGGGAGGGAUCAAGUCCUGCAGUUGUGUUAGUGCUCAUGUCAACUCGUGAGAUGGCAGAGAUGACAGCCUUUAGGUCAUGGAAAUAAGUAUCUAAGCAUUGACCUAGUUAACUGGUUUCCUGAUGUUCUGUAAACUAUACUAGCCAGUGGUUUUUUUUCUUCAUAGAGGCAGCUGUGCUAAUAUGCCUUUACCCAGUUCACUGUCAAAUUGUUUGUAACCAAAAGGCUGCACAGGUGCCAGUGGUCAGGUACACUAUUUACCUUCAUGCACUUUAAAUAAUUUAACGUCUCUUUUUUUUGCAGUUGAAUUGCAAAAAAAAUUACAUGUUGUUCUCAGUAAGUAAUGCUGUAGCGUACAGGUUUUCACCUUUUAGUUUACUACAUUAUUUUCAAGCUGAAAGCUUUCUUUUGUAUUAUGGUAUGGCUCAGUCUUACUGCAUUUCUCUGUUCAAGCGGGAACAAGUAGACAUUUUCAGCUAUCUCUGAAUGCACUAUUUGGCUUUUCUCUCUACUUUGACUUUAUGAAUGUCAAAGUUAAGUCUACUUUGUUUUUGCAUGUUGUUCUUUUUGUACCUGUUAUGAUCUAUAAUGUAAAUCCUCCAUUUCAAAUAAAGUGUUUGUUUGAGAAAAGUGAGGUA